AAAAAUUUAGGAUUAGUUUCUUUCUGCCCCCUAAUAAUAAAAAUAUUUUUAGGUCCUCUAUCAUUAAUUCAAAAACACUUACGUUCUCUCUUUUUCUAUCCUAAAUAAGUAAAAAAUUAGAAACUAACAUAAGCUAACAUUCAAAUCGAAACUAACUAAACGGUUCCCGUUGAAUACAACGGACGUGAGGGGUGCUAAUACCUUCCCCUUGCGUAACCGAAUCCCGAACCCAG
rnacentral:lncRNA from 1 species